rnacentral:rRNA from 1 species
AAUGAACGUUGGCGGCGUGGAUUAGGCAUGCAAGUCGAGCGAGAACCGUAGCAAUACGGGGACAGCGGCGUAAGGGAGAGUAAUACGUAGGUACCUACCUUCGGGUCUGGGAUAGCCGCGGGAAACUGCGGGUAAUACCAGAUGAUGUCUUCGGACCAAAGGUGUGAUUCCGCCCUUAGAGGGGCCUGCGUCCUAUUAGCUUGUUGGUGAGGUGACGGCUCACCAAGGCCAUGAUGGGUACGGGGUGUGAGAGCAUGCCCCCGCUCACUGGGACUGAGACACUGCCCAGACACCUACGGGUGGCUGCGGGCGAGGAUCUUCGGCAAUGGGCGCAAGCCUGACCGAGCGACGCCGCGUGUGGGAUGAAGGCCUUCGGGUUGCAAACCACUGUUGGAGGGGAGGAAAUGCCAGGGGGUUCUCCCCUUGGUUUGGCCUAUCCUCUGAGGAAGGACGGGCUAAGUUCGUGCCAGCCGCCGCGGUAAGAC